AUUGAACGCUGGCGGCAUGCUUUACACAUGCAAGUCGAACGGUAACAGGGUGCUUGCACCGCUGACGAGUGGCGAACGGGUGAGUAAUGCGUCGGAACGUGCCGAGUAGUGGGGGAUAACGCAGCGAAAGUUGUGCUAAUACCGCAUACGUACUGAGGUAGAAAGUGGGGGACCUUCGGGCCUCCCGCUAUUCGAGCGGCCGACGCGUGAUUAGCUAGUAGGUGAGGUAAGAGCUCACCUAGGCGACGAUCAGUAGCGGGUCUGAGAGGCAUGAUCCGCCACACUGGGACUGAGACACGGCCCAGACUCCUACGGGAGGCAGCAGUGGGGAAUUUUGGACAAUGGGCGCAAGCCUGAUCCAGCCAUGCCGCGUGUCUGAAGAAGGCCUUCGGGUUGUAAAGGACUUUUGUCAGGGAGGAAAUCCUAGUGGCUAAUAACUGCUGGGGAUGACAGUACCUGAAGAAUAAGCACCGGCUAACUACGUGCCAGCAGCCGCCGUAAGAC
rnacentral:rRNA from 1 species